AUUGAACGCUGGCGGCAUGCCUUACACAUGCAAGUCGAACGGCAGCACGGACUUCGGUCUGGUGGCGAGUGGCGAACGGGUGAGUAAUGUAUCGGAACGUACCCUUCAGUGGGGGAUAACUAUCCGAAAGGAUAGCUAAUACCGCAUAUUCUCUGAGGAGGAAAGCGGGGGAUCGCAAGACCUCGCGCUGAUGGAGCGGCCGAUAUCUGAUUAGCUAGUUGGCGGGGUAAAGGACUACCAAGGCGACGAUCUGUAGCGGGUCUGAGAGGAUGAUCCGCCACACUGGGACUGAGACACGGCCCAGACUCCUACGGGAGGCAGCAGUGGGGAAUUUUGGACAAUGGGGGCAACCCUGAUCCAGCCAUGCCGCGUGAGUGAAGAAGGCCUUCGGGUUGUAAAGCUCUUUCGGCCGGGAAGAAAUCGCGUGAGUUAAUACCUUGCGUGGAUGACGGUACCGGAAUAAGAAGCACCGGCUAACGACGUGCCAGCCGCCGCAGUAAUAC
rnacentral:rRNA from 1 species